rnacentral:lncRNA from 1 species
GCUUCGGCGCUCUGUCCAGUUGUUUGUGUACAGUGAGUACUGUAUUGAAGGUGACCUGUAUGGCUUUCAUUCAAAAUAGUCACCCAUUUCAGAAUAUCUUAUUAGUCCAUAUAUUUUCUUUUGCAUACAAUGUCAUGGUUAAAGUCAGUCCUUUUUGCAAUAAUCUACUUGUAGUAACCAUACAAGGAAUGCACCCACUCGUGUUAUUAUUCCUAAUUACGUACGUACAUUUCUAUGUUAUCCUAAGUAUAACUUUUACUUCCGUUAAUCAGUUUGAAGUGUUCUUAAGAUUUUAUAUAUGCAUACAGUGGGUGCAGUUAUCAUUAAACAUUUAUUCGAUAAAUUCAGUUUUGUAUUAUUUGUAUUCAUCAAACACAGAUAUUGUAUAGAUUAAUGCUAACUAACCAUAAUUUUAUUUCCUAUAGUGCCACCAAGUGUUUCGAUUUACCCUGAUCACAAUCCGGUUAUAGUACGCGAGGGAUAUGAUUUGACUAUAUACUGCAACUACAGUUCAAACAGUAAUAUUACAUAUUUGAAAUGGACCAGAUUUCUACCAUUGAAUAGUCGGAUUAGGACUACUGAUUCAUCGCAAGA